GCUUACACAUGCAAGUCGAGCGGUAACAUUUCUAGCUUGCUAGAAGAUGACGAGCGGCGGACGGGUGAGUAACGCGUAGGAAUCUGCCUAGUAGUGGGGGACAACAUGUGGAAACGCAUGCUAAUACCGCAUACGCCCUACGGGGGAAAGGAGGGGAUCUUCGGACCUUUCGCUAUUAGAUGAGCCUGCGUGAGAUUAGCUAGUUGGUGGGGUAAAGGCCUACCAAGGCGACGAUCUCUAGCUGGUCUGAGAGGAUGAUCAGCCACACUGGGACUGAGACACGGCCCAGACUCCUACGGGAGGCAGCAGUGGGGAAUAUUGGACAAUGGGCGCAAGCCUGAUCCAGCCAUGCCGCGUGUGUGAAGAAGGCCUUAGGGUUGUAAAGCACUUUCAGGAGUGAGGAAGGGCGUAUAGUUAAUACCUGUAUGUUUUGACGUUAACUCCAGAAGAAGCACCGGCUAACUCUGUGCCAGCAGCCGCGGUAAUACAGAGGGUGCGAGCGUUAAUCGGAAU
rnacentral:rRNA from 1 species